AUGCAAGACUACUUCACGGAGAAUCCAACAUAUCCACCGCACCUCUUUCGGAGAAGGUACCGAAUGCGCCGAACCCGCUUUGUGAAAGUUGUUCAAGCUUGCGAGGCAAAUUGUCGGUAUUUUACUCAAAGAAGAAAUGUUGCGGGCUUGAAGGGAUUUAGUGCAUAUCAAAAAAUCUCCGCUGCUAUGCGGGUGAUUGCAUAUGGCGUUCCGGCUGACUAUGCCGAUGAGUACCUUCGCAUUGGUGAAGAUACCACAAUUGAGUCAGUGCGUAGAUUUCCAAAGUGA
rnacentral:rRNA from 1 species